rnacentral:misc_RNA from 1 species
GAUGAAGAACGCAGUGAAAUGCGAUACGUAAUGUGAAUUGCAAAUUCAGUGAAUCAUCGAGUCUUUGAACGCACAUUGCGCCCCCUGGUAUUCCGGGGGGCAUGCCUGUCCGAGCGUCAUUGCUGCCCUCAAGCACGGCUUGUGUGUUGGGCCCCGUCCUCCGAUCCCGGGGGACGGGCCCGAAAGGCAGCGGCGGCACCGCGUCCGGUCCUCGAGCGUAUGGGGCUUUGUCACCCGCUCCGUAGGCCCGGCCGGCGCUUGCCGAUCAACCCAAAUUUUUAUCCAGGUUGACCUCGGAUCAGGUAGGGAUACCCGCUGAACUUAAGCAUAUCAAUAAGCGGAGGA